UACGAAGGGGGCUAGCGUUGCUCGGAAUUACUGGGCGUAAAGGGCGCGUAGGCGGACAGUUUAGUCAGAGGUGAAAGCCCAGGGCUCAACCUUGGAAUAGCCUUUGAUACUGGCUGUCUUGAGUUCGGGAGAGGUGAGUGGAAUGCCGAGUGUAGAGGUGAAAUUCGUAGAUAUUUGGCGGAACACCAGUGGCGAAGGCGACUCACUGGCCCGAUACUGACGCUGAGGCGCGAAAGCGUGGGGAGCAAACAGG
rnacentral:rRNA from 1 species